UACGUAGGGUGCAAGCGUUAAUCGGAAUUACUGGGCGUAAAGCGUGCGCAGGCGGUUAUGUAAGACAGAUGUGAAAUCCCCGGGCUCAACCUGGGAACUGCAUUUGUGACUGCAUAGCUGGAGUACGGUAGAGGGGGGAUGGAAUUCCGCGUGUAGCAGUGAAAUGCGUAGAUAUGCGGAGGAACACCGAUGGCGAAGGCAAGUCCCUCGUGACCUGUACUGACGCUCAUGCACGAAAGCGUGGGGAGCAAACAGG
rnacentral:rRNA from 1 species